rnacentral:rRNA from 1 species
AUUGAACGCUGGCGGCAUGCCUUACACAUGCAAGUCGAACGGCAGCACGGGAGCAAUCCUGGUGGCGAGUGGCGAACGGGUGAGUAAUGUAUCGGAACGUGCCCAGUCGUGGGGGAUAACGUAGCGAAAGCUACGCUAAUACCGCAUACGAUCUAUGGAUGAAAGCGGGGGAUCGCAAGACCUCGCGCGAUUGGAGCGGCCGAUAUCAGAUUAGGUAGUUGGUGGGGUAAAGGCCCACCAAGCCUGCGAUCUGUAGCUGGUCUGAGAGGACGACCAGCCACACUGGAACUGAGACACGGUCCAGACUCCUACGGGAGGCAGCAGUGGGGAAUUUUGGACAAUGGGCGCAAGCCUGAUCCAGCAAUGCCGCGUGCAGGAUGAAGGCCUUCGGGUUGUAAACUGCUUUUGUACGGAACGAAACGGCUUUUUCUAAUACAGAGAGCUAAUGACGGUACCGUAAGAAUAAGCGCCGACUAACUACGUGCCAGCCGCCGCCGUAA